GCCUGGCAGGCUCAGUAGGUAGAGCAGUGACUCUUGAUCUCAUAGUCAUGAGUUCAAGCCCCAUGUUGGGCA
rnacentral:tRNA from 1 species